UCCCCUGGGCUCCCCUGGCCGGAGCCAUUCCCACCAUCAGGAUCUCCAAUGGAGGCUGGAGUCCCGUGCUGACGGAUGAGGGCCUGGCUGUGGUCAUGGCCCCAUCGUGCACUGCAGUGCUGCCGCUUGGCUCCGCCGCAGACUGUGCGAGCGGCCUUAAGUUCAUCUGCUGCUGCAGGCCUCCUGGUAUGUGAGAGUGUAAAUUCAAGCAUGCCAACAUGUGCACUGAGGCAGCAAACUUAAGGGAGAGGGAAGGAAUUCCCAUCCUUCUGCGGUUUAUGGUGUCCUUUUAAACUAUUUAUAAAUUGUAGCCAGUGUUUGCAUUUGGGCUGUGUUGCUGUGCUCGUUAUCACGACUUAGGUCUGGAAGAAAAGUUCGAGUUGACUCCUCUCUUCUGAAAUAAAGAGGGGAAGAAAGUUAACCACGUAGUCAGAUGGCUCAAGGCAGCAAUUCCUAUGAACGCAAGCUAGUUCUCUGUCUUGCAAAGCUGGAACAAAGAUCUAGACCCACUUUCCCUUUUUCGUUUCCCUGUCCUCUUCAUUAGCUGAUGACAGUUUCAGCUUCCUACAUCCUUUUAAAGAGAUUCCCCCUGCACAUCAUCUGGGAUUCAUGAACUGCGGAGAUCUGGGGAUCCUAAUGCAGCGUUGCUUGGUGCCUUGUGAACUCCAGCACUGGCUAUUUUCAUCUUUAAGCCACAGUUAAUCCAUGACCUUAGUGCUUUUGUCUCCAGGUCUGAAUUAUGCAAGUUCUGGAUCCCUCUUUUCUUGGAGCAGCUCAGCAGAGAAGCACAGAGACAUCAGUGCUGGCAUGGCUCACCCAGCAGCACAUCUCUGGAAGAUGCACUGGUGCUCAGAUUGUAGGAGAGCAGCUUGGGAACAGCUGCAAAAUAGAAGGACAUGGAAACAGUUUUGGGUCUGCACUGUUACGAGGUUGCAAGAGGAGCAGAGCUGUGGUGACUCUGGAUCUUUCCUGAUAUUCUUGGCAACUCCACUCUCUCUCCCCAGCAUUGCUCAAGGCCUGCUACUCCCAUGCAUGCCCCACCUAAGUGCAGGAUGUGGUCUAUGCUCCUGGAUCUCAACCAGGCUAUGGCCCAUGCUCAGCCACAGCAUAUUCCUCUUUUCCAAAAGCAUUGGGGCAUAUGUGAACAUUGUGAGAAGGUUCUAGAAGACCGACAGGAGUUCAGUAAUCCCAGCAGCCCAACGGACUGGCACGACAGCACGGGAGCUGAUAUUGCAUUGAUGGUAAGGCAGAGAAGGCUGAGAAAACAAGGCAGUCUCACCAUGAUGCAGUGAUGUUUCAAGAUACCCAUUUAUUUUUCUUCAUCCAGAAGCCCCAGGACCACGAUGGCUUUUCAGAUUCUAUCAGGACACAACAGAGCAUGGGGAAG